UACGGAGGGUGCAAGCGUUAAUCGGAAUUACUGGGCGUAAAGGGUGCGUAGGUGGUUUGAUAAGUUAUCUGUGAAAUCCCCGGGCUUAACCUGGGAAGGUCAGAUAAGACUGUUAGACUCGAGUAUGGGAGAGGGUAGUGGAAUUUCCGGUGUAGCGGUGAAAUGCGUAGAGAUCGGAAGGAACACCAGUGGCGAAGGCGGCUACCUGGCCUAAUACUGACACUGAGGCACGAAAGCGUGGGGAGCAAACAGG
rnacentral:rRNA from 1 species